CAGUCGAGCGGAAACGAGUUAUCUGAACCUUCGGGGAACGAUAACGGCGUCGAGCGGCGGACGGGUGAGUAAUGCCUAGGAAAUUGCCCUGAUGUGGGGGAUAACCAUUGGAAACGAUGGCUAAUACCGCAUGAUGCCUACGGGCCAAAGAGGGGGACCUUCGGGCCUCUCGCGUCAGGAUAUGCCUAGGUGGGAUUAGCUAGUUGGUGAGGUAAGGGCUCACCAAGGCGACGAUCCCUAGCUGGUCUGAGAGGAUGAUCAGCCACACUGGAACUGAGACACGGUCCAGACUCCUACGGGAGGCAGCAGUGGGGAAUAUUGCACAAUGGGCGCAAGCCUGAUGCAGCCAUGCCGCGUGUAUGAAGAAGGCCUUCGGGUUGUAAAGUACUUUCAGUCGUGAGGAAGGCGGUGUCGUUAAUAGCGGCGUUGUUUGACGUUAGCGACAGAAGAAGCACCGGCUAACUCCGUGCCAGCAGCCGCGGUAAUACGGAGGGUGCGAGCGUUAAUCGGAAUUACUGGGCGUAAAGCGCAUGCAGGUGGUUUGUUAAGUCAGAUGUGAAAGCCCGGGGCUCAACCUCGGAAUAGCAUUUGAAACUGGCAGACUAGAGUACUGUAGAGGGGGGUAGAAUUUCAGUGUAGCGGUGAAAUGCGUAGAGAUCUGAAGGAUACCGGUGCGAAGCGGCCCCUGGACAGAUACUGACACUCAGAUGCGAAGCGUGGGGAGCAACAGGAUUAGAUACCUGGUAGU
rnacentral:rRNA from 1 species